AUUGAACGCUGGCGGCAGGCCUAACACAUGCAAGUCGAACGAGUGGCGGACUGGUGAGUAAUGUCUUGGAAACUGCCUGAUGUAGGGGGAUAACUACUGGAAACGGUAGCUAAUACCGCAUACCAUCGGAUGUGCCCAGAUUGGAUUAGCUAGGAGGUGGGGUAAAGGCUCACCUAGGCGACGAUCCCUAGCUGGUCUGAGAGGAUGACCAGACACACUGGAACUGAGACACGGUCCAGACUCCUACGGGAGGCAGCAGUGGGGAAUAUUGCGCAAUGGGCGAAAGCCUGAUGCAGCCAUGCCGCGUGUAUGAAGAAGGCCUUCGGGUUGUAAAGUACUGUCAGCGGGGAGGCGUUACCCGCAGAAGAAGCACCGGCUAACUCCGUGCCAGCAGCAGCGGUAAUAC
rnacentral:rRNA from 1 species